rnacentral:rRNA from 1 species
CCUACGGGUGGCAGCAGUGAGGAAUAUUGGUCAAUGGACGAGAGUCUGAACCAGCCAAGUAGCGUGAAGGAUGACUGCCCUACGGGUUGUAAACUUCUUUUAUAUGGGAAUAAAAUGAUCCACGUGUGGCUUUUUGUAUGUACCAUAUGAAUAAGGAUCGGCUAACUCCGUGCCAGCAGCCGCGGUAAUACGGAGGAUCCGAGCGUUAUCCGGAUUUAUUGGGUUUAAAGGGAGCGUAGGUGGGUUGUUAAGUCAGUUGGGAAAGUUUGCGGCUCAACCGUAAAAUUGCAGUUGAUACUGGCAGUCUUGAGUACAGUAGAGGUAGGCGGAAUUCGGGGUGUAGCGGUGAAAUGCUUAGAUAUCACGAAGAACUCCGAUUGCGAAGGCAGCUCACUAGACUGCAACUGACACUGAGGCUCGAAAGUGUGGGUAUCAAACAGGAUUAGAUACCCGAGUAGUC